GUGCCUACGGGGGGCAGCAGUGGGGGAUAUUGCACAAUGGGCGCAAGCCUGAUGCAGCGACGCCGCGUGAGCGAAGAAGUAUUUCGGUAUGUAAAGCUCUAUCAGCAGGGAAGAAAAUGACGGUACCUGACUAAGAAGCUCCGGCUAACUACGUGCCAGCAGCCGCGGUAAUACGUAGGGGGCAAGCGUUAUCCGGAUUUACUGGGUGUAAAGGGAGCGUAGACGGCGCUGCGAGUCCGGAGUGAAAGCCCAUGGCUUAACCAUGGUACUGCUCUGGAAACUGUGGAGCUUGAGUGCGGGAGGGG
rnacentral:rRNA from 1 species